rnacentral:rRNA from 1 species
CACGUAGGGCGCAAGCGUUGUCCGGAAUUAUUGGGCGUAAAGAGCUCGUAGGCGGUCUGUUGCGUCCGCUGUGAAAACUCGGGGCUUAACCCCGAGCCUGCAGUCGAUACGGGCAAACUGGAGUACUGCAGGGGAGACUGGAAUUCCUGGUGUAGCGGUGAAAUGCGCAGAUAUCAGGAGGAACACCGGUGGCGAAGGCGGGUCUCUGGGCAGUAACUGACGCUGAGGAGCGAAAGCGUGGGGAGCGAACAGG